UUGAGAAAAUACCUAACUACUCAUUUCAUCACCAUAGCAGCUCCCUGCACUGAAUCAUUGUGGAAUCACACACUUCCAUCUUACCAUGGCAGCAGAACUUGUUGGUGGUGCUCUUCUUUCUGCUUUCGUUAAUGUUGCAUUUGACAGGCUGGCUUCUUUUGAAGUUUUAGACUUCUUUCGUAGAAGAAAACUUGAUGAGAACCUGCUCAGCAAUUUGAACAUCAUGCUGCACUCCAUCAAUUCUCUCGCUGAUGAUGCAGAACAAAAGCAGUUCAGAGAUCCACACGUCAAAGCAUGGCUUUUUGCUGUCAACGAGGCUGUCUUUGAUGCAGAGGAUCUCUUGGAUGAAAUAGACUAUCAACUCAUCAAAUGCAAAGUGGAAGCUGAAUCUGCACAUCAAAACUUGACUUACAAGGUAUCCGAUUUCUUUGAUUCUACUAUCAGUUCAUUUAACAAGAAAAUUAACUCCGGAAUGAAAGAAGUCACAAAAAAUCUAGAAUAUCUUGAAAAGCAAAAGGAUGCUCUUGGCCUGAAAAAGUGUACUUACUCUGGGCAUGGAUCAGGUAGUAAAAUGCCACAGAAAUUGCAAUCAUCUUCUUUGGUGGCUGAAAGUGUUAUUUAUGGCAGAGAUGCUGACAAAGAAAUGAUGUUAAAUUGGCUCGGAUCUGAAAUCGACAAUCAUAUCCAUCCAUCAAUACUUUCCAUCGUGGGCAUGGGUGGGUUGGGUAAGACCAUACUUGCCCAACAUGUGUACAAUGACCCAAGGAUCGACGAUGCAAUGUUUGAUAUCAAACUUUGGGUCUGUGUUUCGGAUGAUUUUGAUGUUUUGACUGUGACAAAAGCAAUUCUUGAGGAAAUCACAGAUGAAAAGGAUGACAGUAGAGACCUACAAAAGAUUCACAAAAAACUGAAAGAAAAAUUGUCAGGACGCAAAUUUCUUCUUGUUUUGGAUGAUGUUUGGAACGAAAGACAAGAAGAAUGGGAAGCUGUGCGAACUCCUCUUGGUUAUGGGGCUCCAGGAAGUAGAAUUCUUGUCACAACACGUGGGGAGAAAGUUGCUUCUAAUAUGAGGUCUAAAGUGCAUCGCUUAAAACAAUUAGAAAAGGAUGAAUGCUGGAAAGUUUUUGUAAAGCAAGCAUUAAAAGAUGAUGAUCUUGAAUUAAAUGAUGAGAAAAAGGAGAUUGGUAGAAGGAUAGUGGAGAAGUGCAAAGGAUUACCUCUUGCUUUGAAAACAAUUGGAUGUCUUCUCCGGACAAAGUCAUCAAUUUCAUAUUGGAAAAACGUAUUGGAGAGUGACAUAUGGGACUUACCAAAAGAAGUUGAAAUUAUCCCUGCUCUGUUAUUGAGUUAUCAGCACCUUCCUUCUCAUCUCAAGAGGUGCUUUGCUUAUUGUGCAUUAUUUCCGAAAGAUUAUGAGUUUGAAAAGAAGGAAUUAAUUUUGUUGUGGAUGGCUGAAGGUUUUCUCCAUCACUCUCCACAUAUAAAGAAUGUACAAGAAAUUGGUGAACAGUAUUUUGACGAUCUACUAACGAGGUCCUUAUUUCUUCAAUCAAGCUGUAAAAUGCGAUUUGUCAUGCAUGACCUUAUGAAUGAUUUGGCAAAAUAUGUUUGUGGAGACUUAUGUUUCAGUUUGAAAUUUGAUAAAGGAAACUGUAUACCCAAAACAACCCGUCAUUUUUCAUUUGCAUUCGAAGAUGUAAGAUAUUUUGAUGGUUUUGGAAGUUUAACUGAUGCUAAAAGACUGCGUUCAUUUCUUCCGAUUACAAAACCUAGAACUUCCUAUAGCGGUUUUUCUUGUCAAUUCAAGAUUAUGAUACAUAAAUUGUGCUCCAAGUUGAAGUUUUUACGCAUCUUAUCUUUGUGUGGAUAUUCUGACCUUAGAGAGAUCCCUGAAUCUAUUGGUGAUCUUAAACAUCUCCUCUCGUUAGACCUUUCGUUUACUUGUAUACAAAAACUACCUGACUCAAUAUGUUUGCUUUAUAACUUGUUAAUACUGAAGUUGAAUAGUUGUUUAUAUCUAGAGGAAUUUCCCUCAAAUCUGCAUAAACUCACAAAAUUGUGUUGCUUAGAAUUUGAAAGCACAAAAGUGACAAAGAUGCCAAUGCGUUUUGGAGAAUUGAAGAAUCUUCAGUUAUUGAAUAUGUUUUUCGUUGAUAAAGAUAGUGAGCUCAGUACUAAGCAGUUAGGAGGACUCAAUCUUCAUGGAAAACUAUCAAUUAAUGAGGUGCAAAACAUUGAGAAUCCAUUGGAUGCAUUAGAAACAAAUUUGAAAAAUAAACACCUCAUGGAACUACAGUUAAAAUGGAAUUCGAAUCACAUCCCAGAUGAUCCGGGGAAAGAAAAGAAAGUGUUUGAGAAUCUACAACCUUCCAAAAACGUGGAACAUUUGUCAAUAGAGAACUAUGGUGGUACAGAAUUCCCAAGUUGGGCAUUCGAUAUAUCAUUAUCAAAUUUGGUGUUCUUAAAGUUGGAGGACUGUAAAUAUUGUCUGUGUUUGCCUCCACUUGGACUAUUGUCAUCUCUGAAGACCCUUGAGAUAGGAGGCUUAGAUGGAAUAGUGAGCAUUGGUGCUGAAUUUUAUGGGAAAAACUCUUCUUCGUUCAAGUCCUUAGAAAGAUUGAGAUUCUACGACAUGAAGGAAUGGGAAGAAUGGGAAUGUAAAACCACUUCUUUUCCACAUCUUCAUCAUCUUUCUAUCGAGAGGUGUCCCAAGUUGAAAGGUAUGUUAAACCAACUUCUUCAUUUAAAGGAACUAGUUAUUUGUGAUUGUUAUCAACUCAUCAUUAGAGGAAACAACAUCAUUACAUCCUCGCUUCAACUCUUGACAAUUAUGACAAGCCCACAUGUAAAUAUUCCUAUUGCCCAUUAUGAUUUUCUUGAAGAAAUGAAAAUUGAUGGUGGCCGCUGUGACUCUCUUGCAAUCUUUCAGCUAGAUUUAUUUCCAAAACUACGUUGUCUUCGAUUGACAGAUUGCCAAAACCUGCAAAGGAUUUCACAGGAGCACACCCAUAAUCAUCUCAAGGAAAUGACUAUUUAUGGAUGUCCUCAAUUUGAAUCAUUUCCCAAUGAAGGGUUAUCUGCUCCGUGGCUACAAAGAAUUGAAAUUGAUGGAGCGCAGAAUUUGAAGUUGUUGCCAAAAGGCAUGCAUACCCUGCUUCCGUCUCUUAAUGAUCUGAAAAUAAUUGAUUGUCCACAAGUGGAGAUGUUCCCAGAUGGAGGUUUGCCAUCAAAUGUAAACAAAGUGUCUCUUUCAAGUUCAAAACUUAUUGCCUCUCUGAGAGAGAACUUGGAUGCCAACACAUCUCUUUUUUGGUUGUGUAUUAAAAAGGUUGAUGUGGAGUCUUUUCCUCUUGAAGUUUUGCCCAAACAUACUUUUCUACAAAUCUUUGAUUGCCCAAAUCUCAAAAAGAUGGAGUACAAGGGUCUCUGCCACAUCUCAUGUCUCUCACUUGAGCACUGCCCCAACCUUCAAUGCUUACCAGAGGAGGGUCUACCUAAAUCCAUCUCUCAUCUUUUUAUCAAGGGUUGUCCGUUGUUGAAAAAGCGUUAUCAGAAUCCAAAAGGUGAAGACCGAAAAAAGAUCUCUCACAUUAAAAACUUGAGAAUUUGGUAUUAAGAAGUUCAAAACUAGAUGUGCCGCAAUUCCAUUUGUCUUUAUCAGUUGUAGGCUUCUUUCGUGGAAGAAAACUUGAUGAGAAGCUGUUGGGCAAUUUAAACAUCAUGCUGCACUCCAUCAAUGCUCUCGCUCAUGAUGCAGAACAAAAGCAGUUCAGAGAUCCACACGUCAAAGCAUGGCUUUUCGCUGUCAAAGAGGCUGUCUUUGAUGCAGAGGAUCUCUUGAAGGAAAUAGAGUAUGAACUCACCAGAUGCCAAGUGGAAGCUGGAUCAGACCCACAAACCCUUACUUCCAAGCAUUCUGAUCUGAAUGGAGGGAGCAGAAGACACCCUCAUCGGCUGGCCCUUGACUUCAUUCUAAGCUCGACACUUAAAAGAGUAAGUAGUUGUUUAGGGAUAUUGUUCUUGAAACAAACACAAUUGUGAAAAUGCAAGUAAUUUUAUACUUCCUUUUCUUGGUACUUGAACUUGUAUCUGUUUUCAUCUUGUUAAAUUUAAAUUCUCUGCUCAUUUUUUCUGUGUUCUUUGUUUGCUGUACUUUCAAAAUUCA